rnacentral:rRNA from 1 species
GACGAACGCUGGCGGCGUGCCUAACACAUGCAAGUCGAACGGAAGUAAGUGCUUCGGUAUUUACUUUAGUGGCGAACGGGUGAGUAACGCGUGAGGAACCUGCCUUUCAGUGGGGGACAACAGUUGGAAACGACUGCUAAUACCGCAUGACGCUUCUUGGGGGCAUCCCCGAGAGGUCAAAGCUUUAUGUGCUGAAAGACGGCCUCGCGUCUGAUUAGCUAGUUGGUGGGGUAACGGCCCACCAAGGCGACGAUCAGUAGCCGGUCUGAGAGGUUGGCCGGCCACAUUGGGACUGAGACACGGCCCAG